CCUACGGGUGGCAGCAGUGAGGAAUAUUGCACAAUGGGCGAAAGCCUGAUGCAGCAACGCCGCGUGAGCGAUGAAGGCCUUCGGGUCGUAAAGCUCUGUCCUCAAGGAAGAUAAUGACGGUACUUGAGGUGGAAGCCCCGGCUAACUACGUGCCAGCAGCCGCGGUAAUACGUAGGGGGGUAGCGUUAUCCGGAAUUACUGGGCGUAAAGGGGGCGUAGGUGGGUUAUUAAGUCAGAGGUGAAAGGCUACGGCUCAACCGUAGUAAGCCGUUGAAACUGGGGAACUUGAGUGCAGGAGAGGAGAGUGGAAUUCGUGGUGUAGCGGUGAAAUGCGUAGAUAUUAGGAGGAACACCAGUUGCGAAGGCGGCUUUCCGGACUGUCACUGACACUGAGGCACGAAAGCGUGGGGAGCAAACAGGAUUAGAUACCCCUGUAGUC
rnacentral:rRNA from 1 species